UCCAAAUAGAUUACGGUGCUCCUUGUAUAUAUGUACAUAAAGGGUCAAUUCGGUGAUCUUACACUUUACCUUGUAAAAAUUAGAUUGGCGUAUAGAAAAUGCAGUUCAACAUUGAUACAUAGAUAUGUGUAAUAUUGAGUCUUGACUGUGGAUGUUAUCAGUUGUGCUAAAUGUAUAUGACCUUUUUUGUCUUCCAGCCGCCACCUAAUCGAAAAGCACAUGACCAGCAAGAUAGCUCAUACAAGGAGGUGAGUCGCAUUUUGGGAGAGCGUUGCCUACUGUUAAUGGACAUGGAGAGAGGGCAGUCCAAGACAAGCAGUGACAUCAAAACCCUCAAGAAUUCAGUCGAAAAACUCAGCUGCGAGGUUCUAGGAAUCCAAAGGCAGCUUAAAACCAUCUUGGGACUUCUUAACCAGAAGAAAGGAGUAGGCAAGGGAGGAGACCGCCGCCAAGGCGAGAUGGAAAAUUAAGACAGGAACGUCUUAAGUAAAACCAGCAGACUUUCUCCCAGAAAAUUCAUGUUAUGUGGCUUACUGCAUGUUUGUGUGUAUAAAUGUGGUGGCUGAGACAGUUUUUAAAGGGAUCAGAGACAUUCAAGGUCAACAUUUCAUUCCAUUUCUUUUUCGCGGGGGGGGGCAGAAGGCAAGAUGACAUCAUAUGGAAAAGUCAAAGGUCUUAUUUGAGUGAUAAACUAAGAUUCACAAAACUCAAUCUGAAAAAGUCGUUUUCGGAAGUAUUUAUCAUUAAAGUGAAGGGAUUGUUUUCCAGUUGACCUUUGUAUGGAGCGAAAAGCUGCUGAAAUGUAACAAUUAUGGCCCAGCGGGAUGAUCCGUCUACAGGUUGGAAAUGAAUGUCAGUCUUUGCUAUAGCAGACAGAAAAUGAUAGCUGAAUAUAAACGAAAUCCACGCGUAGGCAGUGAUAGCCACUGGGUGGGACGCAGCACGCAAACUAAAGAGGGGAUAACACGACAAGGCAAACCAGUCUUGCUCAGGUCCGGUUUUGGUAGUGCAGAAAUAUAUUUUAUUCCGCACUGGGAUCAUGUUACUCGCAUGUAGUAUACAGAUGCAUGCCUACCUUUUAAAAGAUACCACAUGAGGCUUUCAUUUGAUACACCUAAUGUUAAAAUAUCGCCGAGGAAAGUUUCAUUUGAACAUUUUACAGAUGUGCAGGGUUUAGCUUAACAUUUUAUGAUCCACAAGGUUUAAACUAUAUCUGUCAACCUAAAAGCAUGUUUUUGAUGAAAUCAAUUUAUAUUUGAUGUAUAUGCACGUAAACUCUUGCGCCGAGCGUUGUGUGGCUGAACGCAACGCAUACGUGUGCUAUAUUACGUUAAAAAAAUAAUGGAGUCAAUCUGGAUGGCUAUGAAAGUGAAACGAAUGAACGCAUCAUGUACGCAACGCACCCCAAUAACAUACAUGUACAUAUUGAAAGGCGCCUUUAGGCUACUCGUUUGCUAAAGUGUUUAUGUAUUGUUUUUCUUGUACGUUUGGAAGACUUGAAACUUAUUACAAUGAAUUGGAUGAAUUAUUGACUACGCUGAAGAAUUGUGAAAGGCAGACUGACAUGCAAAGAUACCGAAGAAUUGUAGGCCCUACAUAAUCUUAUCUCUACAAUUUACCUCACUUUUCCUUUUUAAAUUUGGCUGAGCGAAUCACGCCCUUGCCAAGAGAUUGGACGAACUGGUCACAGACUAUAGAAAUAGUCAGUGAUAAGUUUCUUUUUACUACUUUGAAAACAGACGAAAACUCCAUAAUUUUUGUUCCGUAGACAUUUAAAACGUUUCUGAUUGGGUGGUUGUUUUGACACGUACAUGUAGCGGGGAUGUGAUUUUUCAGGACUUUAGCAGAUUUAAGUUUUCUUAAAUCCAAAAAUCUUAUUUAUGCUGACUCAAUCCUUCAGGCUUUACCACCUUUACGUACCGUAUAAUUAUGAAGGUUAAGGUUCACAUCCUGGCAGGAGAGCAACAACUCAGGCCAGGUUUAGGGUUUACAAAGCUCUGAAAAACCC